GGGCGGGGCCGGCCGCAAUGGCUGACGGGAGGUCCCCGACAUGGCGGGGGCUGCGGCGUGGCCGCGAACUGCGGGGCUGAAAGGGCGGCGUUCCGCCAGCUGGGGCAGCAGCUCCGUGCAGCUGCAGGGAGAUGUGGCGCUGCACUGCAGGUGCAGGAUCAAGUCCAGGGAUGUUGUGGAUUCUGGUGACCAACAUGUGACUCAACAAGAUGGGCUUCUGCUUGGUUAAGCUCAGGAAACAAUUUUAUUCAACACAGGAACAAACUCGGCUUAAAUCCGGAGAUAGAAAGCCCAGAACAGAAGCACGGUGGGGGUUUUAUGGGGCAGGGCCAGGGUGGAGUUUAAGAUCGGGAACUAACAAGGACACGGCAAGGGAGAAACCCCCGGGGCACGGAACUGAUCAGAGCACCCUGGGCUGACACCCCACGAGGGUCCGGGGAGGGACGACUCUUCCUGGGCUCACCGGGCACAUCCCCCGAGGCAGAGGGAUGGAAGUUACUCUUCCUGGGCUUUAAAGCCACGCCUCUCAUUUUAACAAUGCUUCUCUGAAACUAAAUCUUUGCUUCCCUGGGCGGGGGGCAGCUCACACUCCUUGCCUCUUUUUUCCACCUUUUCAAUAUUUUGUUCAGGCUCUUGCUCAGUCCCUGUCUCCCCCCUCACUCUGCUCGUGGGAAAGACUCUGUCCUCAGCCCGGGCUCCAUGUGUAUCGUUCCGGUCAUGGGUGGUGUAAUAAAUGGAAUUGAUUCGUGCUAACUAAAUUGUAACUGUUAUUAAAGAUAUUAUUAGAAGCCAUCAAAAGAAUCAGUGUUACAAGGCAGAUGUACUCCUUUACAGAUGUUACAUGUCAAAAUCGAGGUGCAGGAUGUAGUUUGGAAGAUAAGUGACGUCCCAAGAUCAAAACGGCCUUGCGAUGGACAAAAUUAGAACAACUUUAGGCAUUGGGCCUAAAAAUCAGUAAAUAUAAGACUAAUUAGUAGACUAACAUAACACAAUGCUUAGUACGCACGUGCAAACCUGUAAGGUUAUCCAAAGGACAACGAGGAAGAGGAGAAGCCUUUGCCAAAAGACCACCAAAAGAAGACUGAAGACCCCCUACCAACAAGUGAGGCAUGCGCUGUGAAGAAAAGUGAUGUAAAGUCAGAAAAAUCGGAAAGAGGAGGAAACUUACAGAAAACAUUAAUGAAUAUGUAUAAGCAUACAGUAUAUAAGUUUAGCUUGAAGUGCUUUGUUUUGUAUGUGAGGCAGGGUGGGAAGCCUCUGUACCCUGGUCGGUUUUGUACAUGAGGUGGGGUAACAAGCCCUCCUCGUAUCCCAGUCGGUUUUGCUUAUGCUUUAAUCAUACUUAAUUACUGGCAAAUUAUAUAUAUAUAAAUUGUAUUUUUUUUAUUAAAUUGUAUUAUUUUACUAAACUGUAUUCUUGUGUACCAAAUUACUAUACAAUUUACUAAACUGUAUUCAUUUUUAAUUAAACUGCCAUUAACAUAAGGGA